UACGGGGGGGGCGAGCGUUGUUCGGAAUUACUGGGCGUAAAGGGCGCGUAGGCGGUUCGCUAAGUUGGAUGUGAAAACUCUGGGCUCAACCCAGAGCCUGCAUCCAAAACUGGCGGGCUAGAGUUCUGGAGGGGGUAGCGGAAUUCCUGGUGUAGCGGUGAAAUGCGUAGAUAUCAGGAGGAACACCUGUGGUGUAGACGGCUUACUGGACCGCAACUGACGCUGAGACACGAAAGCGUGGGUAGCAAACAGG
rnacentral:rRNA from 1 species